ACUUGAAACCUAGCCAAAACCUUAUCCUUACUUAGGGUGAUCCUGUGCUUCCAUUUGCUAAUCCAUAGAUACUCCUAAUAUCUUCCUUCUCUUCUUCAUAAGUGAGGAGAUAAGAUGAAAUAAGGAAUUCGUAAAUACAAAGAGAGUCAUAAAGCAUCACAUAAAGGUUAUGUUUAUUUUAUAUUGAAAUGUCCACCUGAAAAACUUUCUCUGGCAGAGUGCAGGGCCAGAUGAAAUUCACAUGAAUGAGGAACACCUGAUCUGUAUGGCCCUGUCAUUAUUAUGCAUAUCCAUGGAACCAGCUGGGCACUCAGGGUUAUAUGUGGUAGCCACAGCAGGGUGAUUUGCAACCCCCACUCCUAUAUCCAUCAAGACAAGGCCACCACGAGGCCCCCUAUCCUGCUGUAGAUGACCUGAAAUACGCUGUCCCCUUAGAGGUUGCUUUCUUUGGCACUGAUCAUGAACAUCUGUUUGGUUUAUUGCAGAACCCACAGAGGCCAACACAGUGCCUGGCACAUUCUAAUUGCUCAAUGAUCUUGAGAUCAAUAAGGGGGUGAAAAAUGGCUGCUGGUGUAAAAAGCAGGAGAAAGGCACUGAAAGGGGAUGAGAGUGGACACCGGAGACCAUUUUUUGCCCAUUUGGUAGUAUUUCAUCCACUCUACAACUAGUCUCCAAGUCAUGCCUUUAUUUUUCCCCUGUAUGAGUUGAAGACAACUCUUUGUGGAGUCUAGGAACAGGCAAGUGUCCCUGUAUAUGGAAAGGAAGGAACAGUUCACAAGCUUUCUAAGCUCACAACCCAGCUUGUCUGGGCUUUUCAAUAGAGUGGUUGCCAUGACAUUACAUAGGAGAGCCUUCCAGGCAGUUCCCAUUGCUAAGGGCAAAGGGUGACUGUGAUAUUAAAAGAAGCAUUUGUUGCUCUUUAUACUCAGAGGAAAUCAAGGUGAACUUAAACUCAUUAAAAGCAAGGCUGAGCACAUUUGCAUGAGCAGAAUGUAAAUACAGGAGGCUUCUUGCAGAUGAGCUUCUCUCUUGCAGAAGAAGAGACCCAGGGCCUCCUGAGCCUGUUUGUUCUUAAUUAAGAGAGAUCCUUUUGGGAUGAGAGUGAGUUUGUAAUGGCAUUUCUACCACAAUGUACAACUUCUCAAAUAUCUCCUUCCCCCAUAUCUUCAAAGUUUUAAGUACAGCCCUUAGUGCAAGUUUGUAGGGGAAAUAUGGAAAAAUGCAAAACAAAUACAAUAAACAGAGAAAACAGUUUAAAAUGAUUCUACACACAAAUGAAUAAUUUAAACCUCCAUCAUGUUUGCUAUCUGUGAUGCAUCUAUUUAAUAUUAAUAACUUGUGAAGAAAAAUGACUGUCACCAUUUUUAACAAGCCUAGUCUAUUCUGGCUACAAACCUUAGAUGACUGGCUAUUCCUAACAGGGCC
rnacentral:lncRNA from 10 species